CAAAUCCUGAGAUGUGAUGCCGAGCCGAUUGUGGCGAAGUGGGUGAUCCUAUGCUGCCGAGAAAAGCCUCUAGUGAGUGUCGUGGCGGCCCGUACCCCAAACCGACUCAGGUGGUCAGGUAGAGAAUACCAAGGCGAUCGGGUGAACUGUGGUUAAGGAACUCGGCAAAUUGCCCCCGUAACUUCGGGAGAAGGGGGGCCUCCGCUGGUGAUCAGACUUGCUUUGUGAGCUGGUGGGGGUCGCAGAGGCCAGGGGGAAGCGACUGUUUACUAAAAACACAGGUCCGUGCGAAGUCGUAAGACGAUGUAUACGGACUGACGCCUGCCCGGUGCUGGAACGUUAAGGGGACCGGUUAGCGCACUUCGGUGUGCGAGGCUGAGAACUUAAGCGCCAGUAAACGGCUGUGGUAACUAUAACCAUCCUAAGGUAGCGAAAUUCCUUGUCGGGUAAGUUCCGACCUGCACGAAUGGCGUAACGACUUCCCCGCUGUCUCAACCGCAGACCCGGCGAAAUUGCACUACGAGUAAAGAUGCUCGUUACGCGCAGCAGGACGGAAAGACCCCGGGACCUUCACUACAGCUUGACAUUGGCGUUUGGAACGUCUUGUGUAGGAUAGGUGGGAGACUGUGAAGCUGUCACGCUAGUGGCGGUGGAGUCAUUGGUGAAAUACCACUCUGGUCGUUUUGAACGUCUAACUUCGGUCCGUGAUCCGGAUCAGGGACAGUGUCUGGUGGGUAGUUUAACUGGGGCGGUUGCCUCCUAAAGAGUAACGGAGGCGCCCAAAGGUUCCCUCAGCCUGGUUGGUAAUCAGGUGUCGAGUGUAAGUGCACAAGGGAGCUUGACUGUGAGACCGACGGGUCGAGCAGGAGCGAAAGCUGGGACUAGUGAUCCGGCGGUGGCAUGUGGAAGCGCCGUCGCUCAACGGCUAAAAGGUACCCCGGGGAUAACAGGCUGAUCUUCCCCAAGAGUCCAUAUCGACGGGAUGGUUUGGCACCUCGAUGUCGGCUCGUCGCAUCCUGGGGCUGGAGUAGGUCCCAAGGGUUGGGCUGUUCGCCCAUUAAAGCGGUACGCGAGCUGGGUUUAGAACGUCGCGAGACAGUUCGGUCCCUAUCCGCUGCGCGCGCAGGAGACUUGAAAGGAGCUGUCCCUAGUACGAGAGGACCGGGACGGACGAACCUCUGGUGUGCCAGUUGUUCCGCCAGGAGCAUGGCUGGUUGGCUACGUUCGGAAGGGAUAACCGCUGAAAGCAUCUAAGCGGGAAGCUCGCCUUGAGAUGAGGUCUCCCACCACGAAAGUGGGUAAGGCCCCCGGGAGACGACCGGGUUGAUAGGCCGGAGGUGGAAGCAUGGUAACGUGUGGAGCUGACCGGUACUAAUAGGCCGAGGACUUGACCAC
rnacentral:rRNA from 1 species